CCGUUGAAAUAAGCAUAUCAAUAAGCGGAGGAAAAGAAACUAACAAGGAUUCCCCUAGUAACUGCGAGUGAAGCGGGAUGAGCUCAAAUUUAAAAUCUGGCGUCUUCGGCGUCCGAGUUGUAAUUUAGAGAAGCGUUUUCCGCGCUGGACCGUGUACAAGUCUCCUGGAACGGAGCGUCAUAGAGGGUGAGAAUCCCGUCUUUGACACGGACCCCCAGUGCUCUGUGAUACGCUCUCGAAGAGUCGAGUUGUUUGGGAAUGCAGCUCAAAAUGGGUGGUGAACUCCAUCUAAAGCUAAAUAUUGGCGAGAGACCGAUAGCGAACAAGUACCGUGAGGGAAAGAUGAAAAGCACUUUGGAAAGAGAGUGAAACAGUACGUGAAAUUGUUGAAAGGGAAACGCUUGAAGUCAGUCGCGUCUGCCGGGAUUCAGCCGCAAGGUGUACUUCUCGGUAGACGGGCCAGCAUCACUUUCGAUCAUCGGAAAAGGGCGAGUGGAAUGUGGCACCUCCGGGUGUGUUAUAGCCUCUCGUCGUAUACGGUGACCGGGAGUGAGGACCGCCUUUGUAGGAUGCUGGCGUAAUGGCUUUAAACGACCCGUCUUGAAACACGGACCAAGGAGUCUAACAUGCCCGCGAG
rnacentral:rRNA from 1 species